AUAGAAUUAGUUAAUGUGUAAAAUAAUAUAUACUUGUCAUGUAUAAGUAGUUCAAAGAACAUUCUAUU
rnacentral:tRNA from 1 species